rnacentral:lncRNA from 1 species
AAAAAGAACAGGAUUUUAGUCAAGAUUUAAACUCAGUUGAUCAUUUUGAAAAAAGGGAAGACAAUAAACAGAAUAAUGAAACAGACGACCAUGGUAGUUGUAAUAAUAGUGGUUACAGUAGCAAGUCUUAUUUAUUUAAUGUACUGAACCAUUUUAGUAAUUUAAAAAAAUUAAAAUCCUCAAAAGGGAUAGAUGAAACAGUGGCAAAUUCAAAAUGCAAAGGGACACAAAAAGAAUCUGAGCAAGUGAAUGAAAAAGAAAAGGAAAGUGAAAGUGAUAACAAGAAAAAGGACGAAAAAGAAAACCUGAAUGAAAGUGAAAAUGAAAAAAAAAUGAUCACCCACGAUGUACAAAAUGAGAAUAGUACCGUUAUGGAAAUAAAAAAUAAAGAAAAUUUGAUAUCCGUAAAUGAAAAUUUAACGAAAGAAGAGUGUUUAAACAAUCAUGAAGUUAACACUAUCGAAUUUGUAACAACUGAUAAUAAAAGUGCAUUUAGUAUUGGUACUGUUAUGUCUGUAAUACCUGACAAAGAUAUAAACAACAACAAAUGUAAUGAUAGUACUAUUUUGAGUUAUAACACUGAUACUAAUGUUACUAAUUACAUCAGUUCCAAUUUAUGUAUUGAUAAUGGAAAUACCCGUGAGGACACAAUACUACCUGUCGAAUUAAACAAAAUGGAAAAGCUCAUACAAGAAAUUAAAAUUAAUAAUGAAAUUUACAAUGAAAAUAUGAGCGAAAUUUUAUUAGUGUAUAAUGAUUUAUAUACUUCUUUUUUAGAUAAUAUAUUUUGCCUAAGUAAAAAUAAUAAAAAUGAAUAUUCUUAUUUAAAAAAAGAAAUAGAAAAAAUAAAAAAAAAUACAUGUUUAAUAACAGAAUGUUUAGAUGCUUGUAAAACAGAAAUAAAAAAUAAUUUAAAUAUGGAUGACUCUGUUAUGCUUGAUGAAAUGAAACGUUUAUUUUUGGUAGUAUUUGAUACAAAAAUAGAAGGAACAAUUUAUGUGAAUAAAACUGAGGCUACUAAUGAUGUUACAAAGGAUAAGGACAGCGACAAAAGCGAGAAUGAAAACGAGAAUGGAAACGAGAAUGGAAACGAGAAUGGAAACGAGAAUGGAAACGAUAACAGUAACAAAAACGAUAACGAAAACGAGAACAAACACGAUAGCAAUAACAGUAACAGUAGCAGUAACAGUCACUUUGAUGAAAACAUUAUGAACAGUCGAACGACGUGCAUUAUUUUUACUAUGCUGUGUUCAAAUGAAAUUAUAAAUAUAUUGGAGGAUAUGUAUAAAAAGGUGUUUGUAAAAAUUGAGGUAAGUGAGGAUGAGCAUUUAGAACAAGUUAAUCGAGCAAUAAAAAGGUUGAGCAAUAUGAACGCAUUUAUGCAGUUUCUUAUAAGAACGAAUAAUACACCUAUAACAACAGCAACAACUGCCACUAUUACUACUACUGUCACUAAUGAUAAUAAUAACAGCAAAAAUAGCAGUAAUAAUAGAAACAAAAAUAACAGUAACAGUAGAAGGAAAAAUAACAGUAAUAAUAGAAACCCAAUAGAUAAUAUUAAUAACAACAAAAAUAGCAGUAAUGAUAGCAAUAAUAAUAGCAGUAAUAGUAGUAGCAAAAAUAGUAGUUACAAUAGAAGCAAAAAUAGCAACAAAAAUAGCAACAAAAAUAACAACAAAAAUAACAAUAAUAAUAACAAUAAUAAUAACAAUAAAAAUAACAGUAAUAAUGGAAAUGGAUUAAAUAACGACGAUUGCACAGUUAUAACUAAAAAAGACACAAAAUAUAUUUAUGGAAAUAAAAAAAAUGGAGAAGUAAAAAUCGAAGAAACAGCAGUAGAAGAAAAAGAAAAAAAAGAAGAACAAAGUGAAAAACAUUUCAAAUUAACAAAAAAAAACACACAUUUUUGUACAGUACGUAAUGUAACUAAUAGUACAACUAACCUAAUGAAUAAAAUAAACUUUAAUAAAAAAACUAUAAAUUAUUUUUGUAAAGAUAAUAUAGAAACACCAGUAAAUGUAUCAGGACGCUUAAGUGAAACGGCAAUUAUAAAUAAUACACAAAUGAAAGAAAAACAUUUAAAAACAGAAACGACCAUAAAUGGUAUUGUUAGUACCAAUAACGACAACACUAGUAUCAAUAAAACCAACAAUACAGUACAUCUAAUGAGUAAUGAAAAACAAUAUUCCACUAAAAAAAUGAUUUAUAAAAAAGGAUUGUCAACUAUUUAUAAUAACAUGAACAAUAGUUUUAGUAAUAAUUAUAAUUUAAAUAAUAAUAUUAACAAUAUAAAUAAUGUUGCUACUACUACUACUGUAAGUAGUAAUAAUUUGAUUAGAGAUGAACAAGCGAAAGAUAAUUAUAGUGAUAUGAUGGUCUAUAUUUCAUGGGUUCCUAAAAGUGCUAGAUGCCAAUACCCAUUAGAAUUACCAAAAAAUACAGAUGAAAGAAAUAAUAUUUCUGAAUAUGUUAAAGCAAAAGAACAAAUGAUUUAUAUCUUAAAAAUUAUGGGUUAUGAUGAAGUAGAUAGUGUGUUUUUUCAUCCACCGAAAGGAUCACAUAUAAAAAUUAAAUUUAAAACGUUAGAUUGUAUGAAUAAAUUUUUAAAAACUUAUAAAAAUACACCUGAUAAAUGGAAAGAAGAUAUGUUUGUUUUUUUUAACAUCCCUAUGAGAAGUAGUAUAUCAGUAAGAGAUCUACGAAUUGAAAGGGCUGUACCUAGGAUGUCAACUAAUGAAGUAAGAAAAAAUAAUAAUGAUUUAUUUUUAUUUAAAGAUAAUUAUAAUUUAUAUGAGGAAAAUGAAUAUAAUAAAUUGAAAAAAAUAAAAUUCCGUUAUGACACACAUAAAAAACACGUUGUUAUGAAAACUGUAGAUGAUAAUAAAGAUAUUAAUCAUGUAAAUAAUGAUGGUAUGAUUUCUCGUGAUCUUCAUCCUGUAACAUUAGAUACACCCACUAUUGCAGCUGAUACAACGGUUACAACUACAACAACUAUGAAUAGUCAUACUGAUUUCAAUAUGAGAUUAGACACAAAAACUACUCUCAAAAUUGGUAUUGAUGAUAAUGAUAACUGUACCAGUAAUAAUAAUACCAUUGGUACUAAUACUUUCAGUAUCACCAAUACAGAUAAUAAUAACAGAAACAAUCAUAUAAUGAAAAAUAAAAUGCAAAAAAUUAGAACAAAUGGUAGUGAUAGUAGUAGCAUAUGGGAAUCAGAAAAUCAAACAUUAGAUUUUAAAUUGGAAGGUAUCAUUGGUAAAAAUCCUAAUAUAUUACCAAAUGUUGAUUAUAAAAAUGUUUUGUUUGGGAAUGAAAGUUCCAGUGCUUGUUCUUGUAAUACAUGUUAUGAUAAAGGUAAUGUACAACAGUCUUCAGGUGUUAUCCAAGGUUCACUCAUGUCUCCAAUUAAUAACAAAAAAAUUCCCAAUGGGUGUGGAAACAGCAGUAACAACAGCAGUAACAACAAUAGUAACAACAAUAGUAACAAUAAUAGUAACAACAAUAGUAACAACAAUAGUAACAACAAUAGUAACAACAAUAGUAACAACAAUAGUAACAACAAUAGUAACAACAAUAGUAACAGUGAUAGUGGAGCUUUAACAACAACAAACUUAUUUAUAAGUAAAAAUACAUACAAUUCGAACAACAUUACUACAAAUAUAAAUAAAAUAGGAUAUUAUAAUAACACGGACAACAUAAAAUAUUUAUCAAAAACAAAUCAGAAGAAUAGACAGAGUGAUCUUAUUUUACUGAAUCCUAAUGAAUCGAAUGUCGAUAUGUUGAUGGACGAAACUUAUAUACAUACACACAUGCCUAAUGAAAAACAUUUGAAAAAUCAUAACAUGAAUAACGAUACUUUUAAUAAUAAUUUUGUUAGGAACGUAAAAAGUGAUAUAAUAAAAACACAUACUAUAAAAAAUGACUUUAUAAAAAAUGACUUUAUAAAAAAUGACUUUAUAAAAAAUGACUUUAUAAAUAGUGAUUUUAUAAAAAGUGACUUGAACAAUAACAAAAAUAGUAACAAUAACAAUUUAAACGGUAAUACAAUUAACCUUCAAAAAUUAGUUGCUACUUCUAUGGGUAUUAAUCCAACAAAAGAUAUGUACAUUAUGAAAAAUAACAAUAUCAGUAGAAUUAAGAAAAAACAAUUUUCACCAAAUACAUUUGUUUGUAAUGAUAGCGGCGAUAAUGCUACUGCUACUGCCACUACGACUCUUGCCACUACAACUCUUUCCACUACGACUCUUGCAACUACUUCUCUUCCCACUACAUCUCUUCCCACUACUUCUCUUGCAACUACUACCACUACUACUACUGCUACUACCACCACUACCACUACUACUACUAAUGACAAUACGAUUUACUCAAAUGACACAAAUACUAUCAAUAAUAUAUUAAUAAAUGAACAAAAUGAAUCAAAAAGACAUACAUAUAAUUCAAUUUUAUCAAACAAUAUAAAUAAUAGUAUAGAUUAUUUGAAUAAAAAUGUAUUUACAUAUAAUAGUAGUAGUAGUAAUAGUAAUGUUGGUCAUAAAAAUUGUAAUGGAAAUUGUAGUGGAAAUUGUAAUGGAAAUAAUGUUAAUGGUAAAGAAAUUUUAAAUAAUAUUAAAAAGAGUUAUAUAAAACAUAAUUAUAAUGAAAAUAAUGGUAAUAAUAAUUUUAAUAAUUAUAUAAAUAUUAAUUAUAGUGGCAAUACAUAUACAAAUUCUAGUUACGGUAGUAGUAAUUAUGGUAAUAAUAAUUAUUAUAAAAAUAAAAAUAUUAAUGAUAGUGAUUA